AAUAUUGGAAUAUGGGCGAAAGCCUGACCCAGUCAUGCCGUGAGUUUGAAUGAGGUCUUCGGAUUGUAAAGCAAUUUAAUUUGGGAGGAAGGGCAGUAAGUUAAUAUCUUGAUGUUUUGACUAAACCGACAGAAUAAGCACCGGCUACCUUCGUGCUAUCAGCCGCGGUAAUACGAAGGGUGCAAAGUUUAAUCGGAAUUACUUGGCGUAAAGCGCUCGUAGGUGGUUUGUUAAGUUGGAAGUGAAAGCCCCGGGCUCAACCUGGGAACUGCUUUCAAAACUGGCAAGCUGGAGUAUGGCAGAGGAUGGUGGAAUUUCCUAUGUCGCAGUGGAAUGCGUCGAUAUAGGAAGGAACACCAGUGGCGAAGGAGACCACCUGCUCUAAUACUGACACUGAAGUGCGAAAGCGUGGGGAGCAAACA
rnacentral:rRNA from 1 species